rnacentral:misc_RNA from 1 species
UUUGGGAUGGAAAAGGUAAAUGUGUAGGGCUAGAUGUAAUAGAGAAAGGAGAGGAGUAUAGAUAUGAUUUAUGUGAAUCCAAAGAAAAGAAAUCUCACCGGGCAAAGAUGAAGUCGAAAAUGAAGAAACUUGUUCUGAAGAAGUUCAGAAAGAAAAAAGGUUCAGCAUUGGAGCGUCCUAUGCUCCUGGAUGACAUAGAUUACGUUAUUGAA